rnacentral:rRNA from 1 species
UCGAGAAUUUUUCACAAUGGGCGAAAGCCUGAUGGAGCGACGCCGCGUGGGGGAUGAAUGGCUUCGGCCCGUAAACCCCUGUCAUUCGCGAUCAAACCUGGCUAUUUAAAAGAUGGCCAGCUGAUAGUAGCGGAAGAGGAAGGGACGGCUAACUCUGUGCCAGCAGCCGCGGUAAUACAGAGGUCCCAAGCGUUGUUCGGAUUCACUGGGCGUAAAGGGUGCGUAGGUGGUGAGGCAAGUCGGAUGUGAAAGCUCAGAGCUCAACUCCGAAAUGGCAUUGGAAACUGCCGUGCUCGAGGGUCGGAGGGGGGACUGGAAUUCUCGGUGUAGCAGUGAAAUGCGUAGAUAUCGAGAGGAACACCAGUGGCGAAGGCGAGUCCCUGGACGACUCCUGACACUGAGGCACGAAAGCUAGGGGAGCAAACA